CCUUACAUUCUUAGUCUUUUAGGGCAAGCCUUCUUAGCCUAAUAUAAGUUCAAUUAGAAUUAGGACAAGGCUCUAAAGGGUCCUAAUAGGCUAGCCAUAAAGCCAAGAAGAGGUUUGAGUCAGGUUCAAAAAGUGGUUCGAUCAAAUCGAGUCAGGGUGAACUUGGAUCCGACAUUUGGGAUGGAAAGUAGCAUAUUUUUGAAUUAGUUUCUAUGUGG
rnacentral:lncRNA from 1 species